UACGGAGGGUGCAAGCGUUAAUCGGAAUUACUGGGCGUAAAGCGCACGCAGGUGGCUGAGUCAGUCGAUUGUGAAAGCCCUGGGCUUAACCUGGGAAUUGCAGUCGAUACUACUCAGCUAGAGUAUGGGAGAGGGUAGUGGAAUUCCCGGUGUAGCGGUGAAACGCGUAGAUAUCGGGAGGAACAUCAGUGGCGAAGGCGGCUACCUGGCCCAAUACUGACACUCAGGUGCGACAGCGUGGGGAGCAAACGGG
rnacentral:rRNA from 1 species